UUUAUCGCCGAUAGAUUAGCCCGCGUUCGAUUAGCUAGUUGGUGGGGUAAAAGCCCACCAAGGCGACGAUCGAUAGCUGUUCUGAGAGGAAGAUCAGCCACACUGGGACUGAGACACGGCCCAGACUCCUACGGGAGGCAGCAGUUGGGAAUCUUGGACAAUGGGGGAAACCCUGAUCCAGCCAUGCCGCGUGAGUGAUGAAGGCCUUCGGGUUGUAAAACUCUUUCGACGGGGACGAUAAUGACGGUACCCGUAGAAGAAGCUCCGGCUAACUUCGUGCCAGCAGCCGCGGUAAUACGAAGGGGGCUAGCGUUGUUCGGAAUUACUGGGCGUAAAGCGCGCGCAGGCGGUCUUCCAAGUCAGUGGUGAAAGCCUGGAGCUCAACUCCAGAACUGCCAUUGAAACUGUUAGACUUGAGUACGAGAGAGGUGAGUGGAAUUCCCAGUGUAGAGGUGAAAUUCGUAGAUAUUGGGAAGAACACCGGUGGCGAAGGCGGCUC
rnacentral:rRNA from 1 species